rnacentral:rRNA from 1 species
UCGCCUGUUUAUCAAAAACAUAACCUUUAGCCAAAAACAAAUAUUAAAGGCAACGCCUGCCCAGUGAACAAUUCAACGGCCGCGGUACCCUAACCGUGCAAAGGUAGCAUAAUCAUUUGUCUAUUAAUUGUAGACCAGUAUGAAAGGCAAUAUGAGGGUCUAACUGUCUCUUAUAAUAAAUCAAUUAAACUGAUCUUCUAGUAAAAAAGCUAGAAUUACACCAUAAGACCAGAAGACCCUGUGAAGCUUAAACUAAACUAUUAAAACAAAUAAUAGCUAUUUUCGGUUGGGGCGACCUUGGAAAAAAAAAGAACUUCCACAAACCAAUAACCAAACCACACAGGCCCACAAGCACACCACAUGACCCAGCAUAGCUGAUCAUUGAACCAAGUUACUCCAGGGAUAACAGCGCUAUCUUCUUCAAGAGCCCAUAUCAAAAAGAAGGUUUACGACCUCGAUGUUGGAUCAGGACAUCCUAACGGCGCAGCCGCUGUUAAGGGCUCGUUUGUUCAACGAUUAACAGUCCUACGUGAUCUGAGUUCAGACCGGA